rnacentral:miRNA from 1 species
GGUCGUAUGUGUGACGCCAUUU